CUGGCAAAAGGAGGUCUAAUGACACCCUAGUGUUAUAUUGUGGUACUGGCAAAAGGAGGUCUAAUGACACCCUAGUGUUAUAUUGUGUUACUGGCAAUGGAGGUCUAAUGACACCCUAGUGUUAUAUUGUGUUACUGGCAAUGGAGGUCUAAUGACACCCUAGUAUUAUAUUGUGUUACUGGUAAUGCAGGUCUAAUGACACCCUAGUGUUAUAUUGUGUUACUGGCAAUGGAGGUCUAAUGACACCCUAGUGUUAUAUUGUGAUACUGGCAAUGGAGGUCCAAUGACACCCUAGUGUUAUAUUGUGUUACUGGCAAUGGAGGUCUAAUGACACCCUAGUGUUAUAUUGUGUUACUGGCAAUGGAGGUCUAAUGACACCCUAGUGUUAUAUUGUGUUACUGGCAAUGGAGGUCUAAUGACACCCUAGUGUUAUAUUGUGUUACUGGCAAAAGGAGGUCUAAUGACACCCUAGUGUUAUAUUGUGUUACUGGCAAAAGGAGGUCUAAUGACACCCUAGUGUUAUAUUGUGUUACUGGCAAAAGGAGGUCUAAUGACACCCUAGUGUUAUAUUGUGUUACUGGCAAA